rnacentral:rRNA from 1 species
UACGUAGGAUGCAAGCGUUGUCCGGAAUUAUUGGGCGUAAAGAGCGCGCAGGCGGUAUGACAAGUCAGAUGUGAAAGAGGCCGGCUUAACCGGCAAGGGUCAUUUGAAACUGUCAGACUAGAGUGCAGCAGAGGAUAGUGGAAUUCCCGGUGUAGUGGUGAAAUGCGUAGAUAUCGGGAGGAACACCAGUGGCGAAGGCGGGUCUCUGGGCAACAACUGGACGCUGAGGAGCGAAAAGCGUGGGGAGCGAACAGG